GCCCGGAUCGUCCACCUGGUGCGACGAUUGGCGCCUGAACGCCGAAUGCGGGUUCGACUCCCGUUCCGGGCA
rnacentral:tRNA from 1 species